rnacentral:rRNA from 1 species
UACGGAGGGGGCUAGCGUUGUUCGGAAUUACUGGGCGUAAAGCGCACGUAGGCGGCUUUGUAAGUUAGAGGUGAAAGCCCAGGGCUUAACCCUGGAAUUGCCUUUAAGACUGCAUCGCUAGAAUUGUGGAGAGGUAAGUGGAAUUCCGAGUGUAGAGGUGAAAUUCGUAGAUAUUCGGAAGAACACCGGUGGCGAAGGCGGCGACCUGGGACAAUACUGACGCUGAGGUGCGAAAGCGUGGGGAGCAAACAGG